rnacentral:rRNA from 1 species
GACGAACGCUGGCGGCGUGCCUAACACAUGCAAGUCGAACGGGGUCCAUGGGAGCUUGCUCCCGGAAGACCUAGUGGCGAACGGGUGAGUAACACGUGAGAAACCUGCCCUGGAGUGGGGAAUAACUCGGGGAAACUCGAGCUAAUACCGCAUACCCUCGGAUGGUCGCAUGGCCGACCGAGGAAAGAUUCAUCGCUUCAGGAGGGUCUCGCGGCCUAUCAGCUAGUUGGUGGGUAACGGCCUACCAAGGCAACGACGGUAGCUGGUUUGAGAGAACGAUCAGCCACACUGGGACUGAGACACGGCCCAGACUCCUACGGGAGGCAGCAGUGGGGAAUCUUGCGCAAUGGGCGAAAGCCUGACGCAGCAACGCCGCGUGCGGGAUGACGGCCU